UACGGAGGGGGCUAGCGUUGUUCGGAAUUAUUGGGCGUAAAGGGCGCGUAGGCGGCCGUAUAAGUCUGACGUGAAAUCCCUCGGCCUAACCGGGGAACUGCGUUUGAAACUGUACGGCUCGAGUCCGGGAGAGGGUAGUGGAAUUCCCAGUGUAGCGGUGAAAUGCGUAGAUAUUGGGAGGAACACCGGUGGCGAAGGCGGCUACCUGGACCGGUACUGACGCUGAGGCGCGAAAGCCAGGGGAGCAAACAGG
rnacentral:rRNA from 1 species